rnacentral:rRNA from 1 species
GGGGAUAACACUGGGAAACAGGUGCUAAUACCGGAUAACAACCAAAACCACCUGGCUUUGGCUUAAAAGAUGGCUUCGGCUAUCACUUUAGGAUGGACCCGCGGCGUAUUAGCUUGUUGGUAAGGUAACGGCCUACCAAGGCAAUGAUACGUAGCCGACCUGAGAGGGUAAUCGGCCACAUUGGGACUGAGACACGGCCCAAACUCCUACGGGAGGCAGCAGUAGGGAAUCUUCCACAAUGGACGAAAGUCUGAUGGAGCAACGCCGCGUGAGUGAUGAAGGGUUUCGGCUCGUAAAACUCUGUUGUUGGAGAAGAACAGGUGUGAGAGUAACUGUUCACAUCUUGACGGUAUCCAACCAGAAAGCCACGGCUAACUACGUGCCAGCAGCCGCGGUAAUACGUAGGUGGCAAGCGUUGUCCGGAUUUAUUGGGCGUAAAGCGAGCGCAGGCGGUUUCUUAGGUCUGAUGUGAAAGCCUUCGGCUUAACCGGAGAAGUGCAUCGGAAACCAGGAGACUUGAGUGCAGAAGAGGACAGUGGAACUCCAUGUGUAGCGGUGAAAUGCGUAGAUAUAUGGAAGAACACCAGUGGCGAAGGCGGCUGUCUGGUCUGUAACUGACGCUGAGGCUCGAAAGCAUGGGUAGCGAACAGGAUUAGAUACCCUGGUAGUCCAUGCCGUAAACGAUGAGUGCUAAGUGUUGGAGGGUUUCCGCCCUUCAG